rnacentral:rRNA from 1 species
AUUGAACGCUGGCGGCAGGCCUAACACAUGCAAGUCGAACGAGUGGCGGACGGGUGAGUAAUGUCUGGGAAACUGCCUGAUGGAGGGGGAUAACUACUGGCAACGGUAGCUAAUACAGCAUACCAUCGGAUGUGCCCAGAUGGGAUGAGCUAGUAGGUGGGGUAACGGCUCACUUAGGCGACGAUACCUAGCUGGUCUGAGAGGAUGACCAUCCACACGGGAAAUGCGACACGGUCCAGACUCCUACGGGAGGCAGCCGGGGGGAAUAUUGCACAAUGGGCGCAAGCCUUAUGCAGCCAUGCCGCGUGUAUGAAGAAGGCCUUCGGGUUGUAAAGUACUUUCAGCGGGGAGGCGUUACCCGCAGAAGAAGCACCGGCUAACUCCGUGCCAGCAGCCGCGGUAAUAC